rnacentral:rRNA from 1 species
CCCUUAGAUGUUCUGGGCCGCACGCGCGCUACACUGACCAGUGCAACAAGCAUCCGUCCUUGGCCGACAGGCUCGGGCAAUCUUUGAACGCUGGUCGUGAUGGGGAUAGACUUUUGCAAUUUUUGGUCUUCAACGAGGAAUUCCUAGUAAACGCAAGUCAUCAACUUGCAUUGAUUACGUCCCUGCCCUUUGUACACACCGCCCGUCGCACCUACCGAUUGAAUGGUCCGGUGAAGCCUCCGGAUUGGCGCGCACCCCGGUGCCGCCGAGAAGUUGGCUAAACCUUACCAUUUAGAGGAAGGUGAAGUCGUAACA